AGCAGCCGCGGUAAUUCCAGCUCCAAUAGCGUAUAUUAAAGUUGUUGCAGUUAAAAAGCUCGUAGUUGAAUUUCGGGGGUUCAUACGUUGGUCGGGCUUUUGGGUCUGUACUGGCGUAAUGGAUUCCUACCUUCUGAAUAACCGGCAUGCCAUUAACUUGGUGCGCCGGGGAAGCAGGACUGUUACCUUGAAAAAAUUAGAGUGCUUAAAGCAGGCUAUCGCCUGAAUACAUUAGCAUGGAAUAAUGAAAUAGGACGGCAUGGUUCUAUUUUAUUGGUUUCUAGGAUCACCGUAAUGAUUAAUAGGGAUAGUUGGGGGCAUUAGUAUUCAAUUGUCAGAGGUGAAAUUCUUGGAUUUAUUGAAGACUAACUUCUGCGAAAGCAUUUGCCAAGGAUGUUUUCAUUAAUCAAGAACGAAAGUUAGGGGAUCGAAGACGAUCAGAUACCGUCGUAGUCUUAACCAUAAACUAUGCCGACUAGGGAUCGGACGAUGUUAAUUUUUUUAAUG
rnacentral:rRNA from 1 species